AAAAACAUUGCUGGUUUUGACAAUCCUGGGAAAUGUCUUUACAUUACUAUGAGAGAACUUGUUGAGAAUGCUGAUUCUGCUGAAUCCAUCUCCGAGCUUCCAGUUGUAGAGAUAACCAUUGAAGAGAUUGGCAGAUGUAAAUUUAAUUCCAUGAUUGGUCUGGCUGACCAUGAACGUAGAGAUGAAGCCCUGUAUGAUGAUUUUGAGACAUCAAAGGCUCGUGAGGUGUGUAAGCAAUGAUUUACUCUCACUUAGAUGGCAUUGUGAUU